AUUGAACGCUGGCGGCAUGCCUAACACAUGCAAGUCGAACGGUAACGGGUCCCUCGGGAUGCGGACGAGUGGCGGACGGGUGAGUAAUAUAUCGGAAUGUGCCCAGUAGUGGGGGAUAACUGCUCGAAAGAGCAGCUAAUACCGCAUACGACCUGAGGGUGAAAGGGGGGGAUCGUAAGACAUCUCGCUAUUGGAGCGGCCGAUAUCAGAUUAGCUAGUUGGUGGGGUAAAGGCCUCCCAAGGCAACGAUCUGUAGUUGGUCUGAGAGGACGACCAGCCACUCUGAACUUGAACACCGUCCCGGUCUCCUAGGGAGGGCAGCAGUGGGAAUUUUUGGCCAGUGGGCAAAACCCUGAUCAAGCAAUGCGGGGUGCAGGAAGAAGUCCUCCGAGUUGAAAGCUGCUUUUGUUGGGGAAAAAAGCUUUUGGGUUAAUCCCCCGGUUGGUUACGGGUACCUGAAAAAAAGCCACGGCUAACUUCGUG
rnacentral:rRNA from 1 species